AACAGGAUUAGAUACCCUGGUAGUCCACGCCGUAAACGAUGUCGACUUGGAGGUUGUGCCCUUGAGGCGUGGCUUCCGGAGCUAACGCGUUAAGUCGACCGCCUGGGGAGUACGGCCGCAAGGUUAAAACUCAAAUGAAUUGACGGGGGCCCGCACAAGCGGUGGAGCAUGUGGUUUAAUUCGAUGCAACGCGAAGAACCUUACCUACUCUUGACAUCCAGAGAACUUAGCAGAGAUGCUUUGGUGCCUUCGGGAACUCUGAGACAGGUGCUGCAUGGCUGUCGUCAGCUCGUGUUGUGAAAUGUUGGGUUAAGUCCCGCAACGAGCGCAACCCUUAUCCUUUGUUGCCAGCGGUUAGGCCGGGAACUCAAAGGAGACUGCCAGUGAUAAACUGGAGGAAGGUGGGGAUGACGUCAAGUCAUCAUGGCCCUUACGAGUAGGGCUACACACGUGCUACAAUGGCGCAUACAAAGAGAAGCGACCUCGCGAGAGCAAGCGGACCUCAUAAAGUGCGUCGUAGUCCGGAUUGGAGUCUGCAACUCGACUCCAUGAAGUCGGAAUCGCUAGUAAUCGUAGAUCAGAAUGCUACGGUGAAUACGUUCCCGGGCCUUGUACACACCGCCCGUCACACCAUGGGAGUGGGUUGCAAAAGAAGUAGGUAGCUUAACCUUCGGAAGGGCGCUUACCGCUUUGUGAUUCAUGACUGGGGUGAAGUCGUAACAAGGUAACC
rnacentral:rRNA from 1 species